CUCUUGACAUCCAGCGAACUUGGCAGAGAUGCCUUGGUGCCUUCGGGAACGCUGAGACAGGUGCUGCAUGGCUGUCGUCAGCUCGUGUUGUGAAAUGUUGGGUUAAGUCCCGCAACGAACGCAACCCUUAUCCUUUGUUGCCAGCGAUUCGGUCGGGAACUCAAAGGAGACUGCCGGUGAUAAACCGGAGGAAGGUGGGGAUGACGUCAAGUCAUCAUGGCCCUUACGAGUAGGGCUACACACGUGCUACAAUGGCGCAUACAAAGAGAAGCGACCUCGCGAGAGCAAGCGGACCUCAUAAAGUGCGUCGUAGUCCGGAUCGGAGUCUGCAACUCGACUCCGUGAAGUCGGAAUCGCUAGUAAUCGUGGAUCAGAAUGCCACGGUGAAUACGUUCCCGGGCCUUGUACACACCGCCCGUCACACCAUGGGAGUGGGUUGCAAAAGAAGUAGGUAGCUUAACCUUCGGGAGGGCGCUUACCACUUUGUGAUUCAUGACUGGGGUGAAGUCGUAACAAGGUAAGCGUAGACGU
rnacentral:rRNA from 1 species